GACGAUCCAAAAACGAAGGAAAUUAUUUCAAAAUUUCCAUUUUUGAAGGCUGAAGAUAUUGCGGAUUCGGUGUUGUACGUUUUGGCAACGCCUCCACACGUACAGGUACAUGAACUAAUGAUUAAGCCUGUUGGGGAACCCGUAUAAUUGUUGACAAGUUAGAAAAAAAGCACACACAAUAGUUUCAAUGUUCAGUUAUACACAUUGUACAAUAAAUAAUAAUGUAUUCCAUAAA